rnacentral:rRNA from 1 species
CGGACGGGUGAGUAAUGUCUGGGAAACUGCCCGAUGGGGGGGGAUAACUACUGGAAACGGUAGCUAAUACCGCAUAACGUCGCAAGACCAAAGAGGGGGACCUUAGGGCCUCUUGCCAUCGGAUGUGCCCAGAUGGGAUUAGCUAGUAGGUGGGGUAACGGCUCACCUAGGCGACGAUCCCUAGCUGGUCUGAGAGGAUGACCAGCCACACUGGAACUGAGACACGGUCCAG